CACGAAUUUAUUAGCAACAUGUAAUAUUAGAGAGAGUGUGUGUGCGCGUUUAUGAUGAUGAUGAUUUUGUAGUAGUUCUAGAGUAUUUUAGUGAAUUAUAAUAUAAUCUAUGGAGGUCGGAUCCACCAUGAAGCUUUGAAGGGUAAGCCUAUCCUACAAAACUUCAAUACCAAUGUAAUAGUUUAAUGCAUGAUCAAGGUUCUUGAGUUUUUUAACCUGCCAAAAUUCUGUUGUUCUUUGAUUAAAAUUCAUGCAUAAUAUUUUAUUGCUUGCAAAUGCAUAUUUAUUACCCUCUUGCAUCUUGACAAUUGGACACUAUUAUUGUUGAGACAUGGAUGCUAAGAAAAAUGACUAAACUGCCCUGAGUACCAAUGUAUAGCUUACUGCAUAUCAAAGUAGUUAACAAAUAUUUCAAACAGUUGGUGUAUGUUUCUUCUUAACUGUUGGAUUCAUGUCUACCUAAUAUAAAUUCAAUGACUUUUUAAGUUCACGUUGUGGUUGAAAAUGAGCAAUUCGUUUGGCUUCUAGGGUGUUCUAAACCUUGUUGGGUUAUCUUGAAAUUGGCUGAAUCAAGUUGGCCAGAUCUCGAGCCAUUUGUUGCAGUUAUUGCUACCAUGAAUUGCUGGAUGUUUACUUGGUCUUUGGAUGAUGCAGAUUUUGGGGAGUGGUCUAUCUACACCAAAUUUGUGUUACUAAGCCAUGGAUCCCACUCAUGGGCUUGAUAUUGGAGAAGUGGACUCAUUGUAAUUUGAUUUGGGUACAAUUAGAGCUGCCACUAAUAACUUCUCAGAUGUAAAUAAGCUUGGACAAGGUGGAUUUGGUGCUGUUUAUAAGGGUAGGUUGGACGACCAAGAAAUAGCAGUGAAAAGGCUGUUUAGGAGUACUAAAGAAGGGUUAGAAGAGUUCAAGAAUGAAAUAGUAUUAGUAGCUAAGCUUCAACACAUGAAUCUUGUUAGGCUCUUGGGCUGUUGCUUGGAUGGAGACGAACAGAUUCUCAUUUUUGAAUAUGUGCCCAACAAAAGCCUCGAUAAGUUUCUGUAUGAUCCAACUAAGCGUGCAUGUUUGGAUUGGGAAAGGCGCUACAAAAUCAUAGGAGGGAUUGCACGUGGGCUGCUUUAUCUUCACGAAGAUUCUCGGCUUAAGAUUAUUCAUAGAGAUCUCAAGGCAAGUAAUAUCUUGCUAGAUGGGGAGGUGAAUCCAAAAAUUUGGUGUUGUUUAUGCCACCGUCUAUUGGAACUAUAAUAACCAAUCUUCGACCCUUGUUCAGUUGAAUGUGGAUCAUUGCUGCAUUUCUCUUAUCAGCCGUUUAUUUCCAAGCAACAGCUUGAAAACUAAGGAUUUUUCUGUGUUAGUCAUAUUCAGGGAGUGGUCCAUCCAUGGCGGCACGCAAGGACCAAUGGCCUGGACCGCUGAACCAUGUUGCUGCUUGUCCGAAUUGAAAACCUGCAUAUAGUGUGCAUAUCCUAACCUGAGUAGCUAAGUAUUCUGGCAUUGUUGUAUGUCAUGUCUAAUCCACCUCAAGUCAUAUUCCAAUUGUGAAAAAACAAGUCAGCUUGAUUUAUGGUUGAUGGCACAUAUAAUUUCUUAUACAAAUGAGUGCAUUUUGUAAGUGAAAAUCGUCCUUCCGUGGGUUUGUGAUUUUAUAUACCAUGGAGGGUUUGAUCAUUGGUCCAAAUAAAAUAAGUUAGUGAAAUCAGAUACAUUUUCCUUUGUUUCA